rnacentral:rRNA from 1 species
GACGGAGGAUGCAAGCGUUAUCCGGAAUGAUUGGGCGUAAAGCGUCCGCAGGUGGCAGUUCAAGUCUGCUGUCAAAGACCGGGGCUUAACUUCGGAAAGGCAGUGGAAACUGAACAGCUAGAGUAUGGUAGGGGCAGAGGGAAUUCCUGGUGUAGCGGUGAAAUGCGUAGAGAUCAGGAAGAACACCGGUGGCGAAGGCGGCCUGCUGGGCAGUAGCUGACACUGAGGCGCGACAGCGUGGGGAGCAAACAGG